CCGGGUCGACCACGAUCCAACCCUAAAUACUAAUACCAGAUCGAUAGUGCACAAGUACCGUGAGGGAAAGGUGAAAAGAACUGAGGUGAUCAGAGUGAAAUAGAACCUGAAACCAUUUGCUUACAAUCAUUCAGAGCACUAUGUAGCAAUACAGUGUGAUGGACUGCCUUUUGCAUAAUGAGCCUGCGAGUUGUGGUGUCUGGCAAGGUUAAGCAAACGCGAAGCCGUAGCGAAAGCGAGUCUGAAUAGGGCGCUUAGUCAGAUGCUGCAGACCCGAAACGAAGUGAUCUAUCCAUGAGCAAGUUGAAGCUAGUGUAAGAACUAGUGGAGGACUGAACCCAUAGGCGUUGAAAAGCCCCGGGAUGACUUGUGGAUAGGGGUGAAAGGCCAAUCAAACUUCGUGAUAGCUGGUUCUCUCCGAAAUAUAUUUAGGUAUAGCGUUGUGUCGUAAUAUAAGGGGGUAGAGCACUGAAUGGGCUAGGGCAUACACCAAUGUACCAAACCCUAUCAAACUCCGAAUACCUUAUAUGUAAUCACAGCAGUCAGGCGGCGAGUGAUAAAAUCCGUCGUCAAGAGGGAAACAACCCAGACUACCAGCUAAGGUCCCUAAAUCUUACUUAAGUGGAAAACGAUGUGAAGUUACUUAAACAACCAGGAGGUUGGCUUAGAAGCAGCCAUCCUUUAAAGAAAGCGUAAUAGCUCACUGGUCUAGUGAUUUUGCGCGGAAAAUAUAACGGGGCUAAAGUAAGUACCGAAGCUGUAGACUUGCACACAACUUAGAUUAUUUAAGUUUAGAAUAAGUAGUUUAAGUUGUGUGCAAGUGGUAGGAGAGCGUUCUAUUUGCGUCGAAGGUAUACCGGUAAGGAGUGCUGGAGCGAAUAGAAGUGAGCAUGCAGGCAUGAGUAGCGAUAAUUAAUGUGAGAAUCAUUAACGCCGUAAACCCAAGGUUUCCUACGCGAUGCUCGUCAUCGUAGGGUUAGUCGGGUCCUAAGUCGAGUCCGAAAGGGGUAGACGAUGGCAAAUUGGUUAAUAUUCCAAUACCAACAUUAGUGUGCGAUGGAAGGACGCUUAGGGCUAAGGGGGCUAGCGGAUGGAAGUGCUAGUCUAAGGUUGUAGGAGGUUAUACAGGCAAAUCCGUAUAACAAUACUCCGAGAACUGAAAGGCUUUUUGAAGUCUUCGGAUGGAUAGAAGAACCCCUGAUGCCGUCGAGCCAAGAAAAGUUUCUAAGUUUAGCUAAUGUUGCCCGUACCGUAAACCGACACAGGUGGGUGGGAUGAGUAUUCUAAGGCGCGUGGAAGAACUCUCUUUAAGGAACUCUGCAAAAUAGCACCGUAUCUUCGGUAUAAGGUGUGGUUAGCUUCGUACUAGGAUUUACUCCGAAAGCGAAGAAA
rnacentral:rRNA from 1 species